AUUUAUAUAGUUUAAAUAAAACCUUUCAUUUUCAAUGAAAAAUUAAUUAAUAUUUAUAAAUA
rnacentral:tRNA from 1 species